GACGCUAUAUAAAAAUAAAAAUUGUUACAGUACUAUUGUGAUUGCAUCCUGUAGUGUCUUUGGAUUUGCUUUGUUCUGGAAUAAAACCCUUCUGAUUGAAGUUACCUGAAGAAGACGGAUUUAUUAUUUUUAAGAAGAAAACAAACCUUCUCAGAAUAGGUAAAACAGGUUGUCACAGAACAGAUUAAACCAAGUUAAAGAACAGGAAAGCGUGGCCACUUUUUAUUUUCAAGACACCUUCGUCCAAAGCCAGAUGUAUCAAGAUAAACAAGAGGACAUGACAGGGAAUGAGCUGGAUGCGAAACAUAUCUAGAAAAGUAACUUUAAUGUAAUUUAAAGCAUUAAAUAAU